rnacentral:lncRNA from 1 species
GCAAACCAAUCUAGUUCCAAUAAUGCCUCAUUUAAAGAUUCUUCACUACCAUCUAAAAGUAGUGAUGUAUCGUCAGCAAACUGCGAGAGUUUGUGUUCAACAUGAAGAACUUUGAUUCCAUUUAUAUUUUUGUUAUUUCUUAUUUUUAACCCUAAAAUUUCAGCACAAAGAAUGAAAAGAUAAGGCGAUAAUGGAUCACCUUGCCUACAACCCCGUUCAACAGUGAAAAAGUCUGAAAGAUUCCCUCCCUGAAUUACUGCUGAAUUAAUGUUUUGAUAGAGUACUUUCACCCAAUUUAUAAUAGAAUC